CCGGCGCGGGGCCAUGGCGGGGCGCGGGCGGGGCUGGCGGCCGCUGCUGCUGCUGGUGCUGCCGGCGGGCGCCGCGCGGGGCGGCCUCUGCUUCCGCCCGGGCCAGACCUGCCACCGGCCCCUGCGCCGGGACCCGCUGGCUCCGCGGGGCGCAGCACAUACCCCCGGCCUCAUGUGUACCUGUCGCCAGCGGAUCUGCCCAAGAGCUGGGACUGGCGCAGUGUGGGUGGUGUCAACUAUGCCAGCACCACCAGGAGCCAGCACAUCCCCAGGACUGCGGCUCCUGCUGGGUCCACGGCAGCACCAGCGCCAUGGCGGAUCGGAUCAACAUCAAGAGGAAGGGCGCAUGGCCCUCCACCCUCCUGUCUGUGCAGCACUUCAUCGACUGCGGUGACGCUGGCUCUGGUGAAGGGGGCAACGACCUGCCUGUGUGGGAGUACCCCACCGGCACGGCAUACCCGAUGAGACCUGCAACAACUACCAGGCCAAGGACCAGGAGUGUGACAAGUUUAACCAAUGUGGGACAUGCAGUGAAUUCAGAGUGCCAUGCCAUCCGGAGCCACACCCUCUGGAGACUGGGAGACUACGGCCCUGUCUCUGGGAGGGAGAAGGUGAUGACAGAAAUCUACGCAAAUGGUCCCAUCAGCUGUGGAAUAAUGGCAACAGAAAGGUUGGCUAGCUACACCGGAGGCGUCUAUGCCCAAUACCAGGGCACCACCUUCAUAAACCAUGUCGUUUCCGUGGCUGGGUGGGGUGUCAGCGAUGGGACUGAAUACUGGAUUGUCCGGAACUCGUGGGGUUAACCCUGGGGUGAGAGAGGCUGGUUGAGGAUCGUCACCAGCACCUAUAAGGAUGAAAUGGGCACCAGUUACAACCUUGGCAUUGAGAAGUACUGUACAUUGGGGGACGACAUCGUUUAAGGCCAUGUCACUGGAAGAGUAGUUUUUUAAAGAAAAGGCAUCGUGAGCCAUGAGGGGAUCCUGUGAUUAUGUGCUCCAGGCUGGCCGGCAGGAACCGGGGCGACUGACUAUCAAUUUUGGAUGGCUGGGAUUUAGAAGGAGCGCCUGUCCACGAGGACAACGUGGUACUGGCUGAGUGCAUUCCUGAGAGUUG